rnacentral:rRNA from 1 species
UACGUAGGGUGCGAGCGUUGUCCGGAAUUAUUGGGCGUAAAGAGCUCGUAGGCGGUCUGUCGCGUCGAUAGUGAAAACUUGGGGCUUAACCCUGAGCUUGCGGUCGAUACGGGCAUGACUGGAGUUCGGCAGGGGGGACUGGAAUUCCUGGUGUAGCGGUGAAAUGCGCAGAUAUCAGGAGGAACACCGGUGGCGAAGGCGGGUCUCUGGGCCGAUACUGACGCUGAGGAGCGAAAGCGUGGGGAGCGAACAGG